rnacentral:rRNA from 1 species
GCGUAGGAAUUUGUCUCUGGGUGGGGGAUAACGUCGGGAAACUGACGCUAAUACCGCAUGAUGCCUGAGGGCUAAAGGCGCCAAGGAAACUUAGUGUCGCCUGGAGAGGAGCCUGCGUACGAUUAGCUAGUUGGUGGGGUAAAGGCCUACCAAGGCUACGAUCGUUAGCUGGUCUGAGAGGAUGAUCAGCCACACUGGGACUGAGACACGGCCCAGACUCCUACGGGAGGCAGCAGUGGGGAAUAUUGGACAAUGGGCGAAAGCCUGAUCCAGCAAUGCCGCGUGUGUGAAGAAGGUCUU